AGAGUUGAUCUGGCUCAGGACGAACGCUGGCGGCGUGCCUAACACAUGCAAGUCGAACGAGAUACCCCAAACGGAGGCUUCGGCCAAAGGGAGGGAAUAUCUAGUGGCGAACGGGUGAGUAACGCGUGAGCAAUCUGCCUCUUUGUGGGGGGAUAACGCACCGAAAGGUGUGCUAAUACCGCAUAAAACUAUUUACGGCAUCGUAAGUAGAUGAAAGGAGCAAUUCGCAGAGAGAUGAGCUCGCGUCCAAUUAGCUAGUUGGUGAGAUAACAGCCCACCAAGGCGACGAUUGGUAGCCGGACUGAGAGGUUGAACGGCCACAUUGGGACUGAGACACGGCCCAGACUCCUACGGGAGGCAGCAGUGGGGAAUAUUGCGCAAUGGGGGAAACCCUGAACCGCAGCAACGCCGCGUGAAGGAAGAAGGUCUUCGGAUUGUAAACUUUUGUCUUCAGGGAAGAUAAUGACGGUACCUGAGGAGGAAGCCACGACUAACUACGUGCCAGCCGCUGC
rnacentral:rRNA from 1 species